rnacentral:misc_RNA from 1 species
UAUCUUCCUAUCGAUUUGAUUUCUUUCCUCUCUUUUCAAUUCCUUAUCUUUUUUUAAUCUAUUCUUUACACCCACACAGCAUCUGUUCCAUUCACCCCGGUAUAUUCCUUUGUUUCAUGUGCUUUUAAGCAGUUUUAAGUAUAUUCCAGGUCCUAUCCGUAAUGGAAAUUGUCUUUUGGCACAACAUCUUCGUCAGAUUUUCAACGCCACUGCAGUAUGAUUUGCUGGGGAAUCUUUUUUCUGAAAGAACAGGAAGAAUGAAGCUUUAAUUAGUUUUUAAUCCUUAAUAAAAACAAACAAAUAAUGCUGACAGAUAAAACGUUUAUUUUACAUAUAGCGAUUCUACUCUCUGCGCAGUUUGUUUUUGGAAGUAAUUAUUACGAUCUGUUGGGCGUUUCGAAAUCGGCCACGCAUCAGGAAAUCCGAAAAGCGUAUAAAAAGCUCGCUUUAAUACUUCACCCCGACAAAAAUUCAGAUGACAAGAAUGCGCAAGAGAAAUUCUUGAAAAUAACACGAGCUUAUGAAGUAUUAAAGGACGAAGCGAAACGAAAGCAUUACGAUUUGCAUGGCGACGAUGUGCCUUAUACUCACACAAAAUACCAAAGUUAUUAUUAUUACGAGCACCAAUUUGGGUUGUACGACGAUGAUCCACAUGUCAUCACACUAUCUGGGAUUUCAGAUUUCGAAAACUCGGUGGAAAAUAUGGAGUCUAGUCAAUGGUUUAUAGUAUUUUAUUCGCCCCUUUGUAUGAGUUGUCACCAUGCGGCACCCAUGUGGUCUAAACUGGCGGAAGAAAUGAACGGUGCUUUGUCAUUCGGUGCUGUUAAUUGUGAAGAUGACUGGCAGAUAUGCCGGCACAAAGCUGACAUCAAUGCUUACCCAACUUAUGUUCUCUUUCCUUCGAGAACAACUUUGGUCGGUUCCAAAAACAAAGAAGAGCUGAGAAAUUUUAUUAUUGGAAGAUUAACGACCGAUACUGUUAACGUUUGGACUCAGAAUGACUGGGACCAAAUCAAGGAGAAACACAACAGUUGGCUCUUGAUUCUUAAAAGUAACGAUCACGACAAAGAUAACCAAAAAAUUGUAUCAGCAAUGAUGAAAGGUCUUAUCGGUGUUGCUCUAAUUCACUGCUCACACAUGCCGUGUUCCGAAUUUAGAAACGAUGAGAACAACGGUUAUGCUUAUUUGGUGAAAGAGCAUGAUACAUGGAGUGUGAACGCAUUAGAAAACGGAGAGCCGCAGGAAAUCGCUAAUCAAAUUUUAACCCUUUUACCUUCUAUAGAAAACUACGAUGAAAAUAUGUUGGAGGAGUAUAUGAAUGAUUUAGAAAAUGGGCUUCAAACUCCUCUUUUAAUUUAUUUCCACAUGGGACCGUCGACGAAACUAGACACGGAGAUUAAAAAAUUAACGGCGACUUUACCAAAUUUUAAAAUCGGCCGUGUAAAUUGCGGUAGGUACGUUAAUCUUUGUUCCUCGCUCAGUAUUUCUCGUUAUCCACUUUUCGGCCUGUUUAAACCGGGUGGUGGGAAAGAGUUCUACCACGGCUCGCUCACGAUUCACGGUGUCUCGGCGUUCGCGAAGGAAAGUUCGCAAGCCGUCAACUUCUGGGAAUGCGGCCCUGAAGAGCUUAAAGAGAAGAUCAAAGAAGGGCCGACGCUCGUGGACUUUUAUGCGCCUUGGUGUCCUCCUUGUAUCAAACUGCUUCCAGAGCUCAGAAAAGCCUCCCUGAGUUUUAUAUCAUCUGUGAUAACAUUCGCGACAGUCGACUGUACGAUUCAUUCCGACUUGUGCAGAGAGCAUAGUGUGACUUCUUAUCCUACAACGCUACUUUUCAACGUAACAAGAAAACCGUUGAAAAUGGGUAGCCGGACGGCAAGCUCAAUAAAAGAAUUCGUCGAAGACACAAUAUCUCCUAAAGUCAUAGAACUAAACGAAGAGACAUUUUAUGAAACAGUUGGAAAGAAAAAAAUUAACGAAUUGUGGGUUGUGGAUUUUUACAUGCCAUGGUGUGGUCCAUGCCAACAGAUGGAACCACAAUACAGAAAACUUGCUAAGAUGAUGUCAGAUAUCAAAAACGUAAAAAUUUCCAAAGUGAAUUGUGAAGAGGAACAAGCACUUUGCACACGGCAGAGAGUCCAACAUUACCCACAUAUUAGGCUUUAUCCGAUGCAUUCUGAAGGGAUGUUAACUGUCAUAUUGCAAUGGAUUCAGUAUUUGAUCUUCAAGCCUCAACAGCUUGUUCAGGCCGUUAAAUAGCCGAGAAAUCUGUUCAGAAUUAAUAAAUUAUUGUGGAAUUAAGUGAUCAAAAUUGUUCAAUAGAAAGAAAAAAAAAGAAAGAUUUACUCUGGAUAUCAGAGAGACGCUCAAAGUUUGAGGCGGUGGAUAUACAAUUAUUUGCCGUCUUCCGUGAA